GCAUAAGCUUUCGUGGGCUACAGCCCACUGCAUCAGAUGCAUAGAAUGGAGCAUAUAGUAGGAGGAUAUAUAUACAUACAGAAAAUAUGAAAAGGUGGAAGUUGCCAGACCAACUCUAAGAAGCUAAUUACUUAAGAUGAGCUAUUAUCAGCAGGAGAAAACAAACUUUUGUAGUGAUAAUCAAGAUGGCCCAUUUCAGACAGUUGACAAGAGGUGUGAGGAUGCUUAACAUGGGGAAAUAGAUUAAAUGAGUGUAAUGACCCAGCCACUCCCAGUCUUUAUUCAG